UACGUAGGGGGCAAGCGUUGUCCGGAUUUAUUGGGCGUAAAGAGCGUGUAGGCGGCCAGGUAGGUCUGCUGUGAAAACUCGAGGCUUAACCUCGAGAUGUCGGCGGAAACCAUCUGGCUAGAGUCCGGAAGAGGAGAAUGGAAUUCCCGGUGUAGCGGUGAAAUGCGCAGAUAUCGGGAAGAACACCCGUGGCGAAGGCGGUUCUCUGGGACGGUACUGACACUGAGGCGCGAAAGCGUGGGGAGCGAACAGG
rnacentral:rRNA from 1 species